CCAUCUAUUGUGAAACGCCGGAAGCAAAGUUGUACACCUAAUAUAAAUAUUGCUUUUUAUCUGGAUAAUGAUAUGUGGAAAAAACUUAUUCUACCUUUGCCAUAAUACGGAUGAAAUAUUCACUUAAUUCUCUAGAAAUGCGAUAAUGCCCUUAAUUUUUUCUCUUUUAGGUCGUAAGUCAACUCAUGAUCAAAAUGAUUUUUAUCAGUGCGCUAAGUGUUCAUUUGCAAAUUUUCUUAUUUGAAUAAAAUCUCAAAUAAUAUGCCAUCUCAUUUUCGACAAAUAUUAUGUGGUCCAUGCAUGUAUAUUUUUCUAGAAUUUUUUUGAUCAAAAUCAUAUUACAUGUCAUAUAGUUAAAGGUAUUAAUCCAGAACUUGUCGAGAAUUUCAAAAUUGUUUUUGAAUUGUGUCAUUUUGUCUUUAUUUUGCAUUUAUUUCCUAUUUAAACUCUAAUUUUGUUAUCCUUUUAUUAACCUAUAUGUACCAUGCCAAAAACAUUGCGUUUCAUCCAAUCAAACACGAGAUCCAGAAAAAUAAAAUAUCUGAAUCGAUUUAAUGAUGUUCAUGGAUAUGAAGAGAUGCUAAUAGUUAUGUCUUGGCUAUAUUAUCAUGUAUACUAGCAAUUCAUCUUUGAAAAUUUCUAAGUGUUAUAAAUCUAGAAUAAUAAUAUUUCGUGAUCCAAUUGAUGCUGUUCAUAGAAAAAAAGAUAUGCCAACAGUUGUGGCUUAUCAAUGUUUUCAUGAACACCGAAAAUUUAUAUUUCAAAAUGUCACUAUUCCACUCGUCAUCCUAAAUAAUAAAAUUUAGUAAUCAAAUUGAUGACCUUCAGAAAUCCCUGUUGCUAGCAAUAUAUUUUUUAAACUUUGUUUCAUUUGCCAGGUCGAGCUCCCAUUAUGUAAUUAUGCUCUUCAGUAUGGUGUUAUAUAAACGGUGUUUGUUAUGUUCAGAUAUUGAUUGAUCCCACAGUAUGCCGUUCAUCAUGGAUAUCGCCUUUCUUUCCUUUAUAACUGCACCAAGUGUUCCGUCAUGCGCCAGUUUCAUACUAAGAUAUUCAAGUUGGUUACAAGAAAUAAUGGAAGCCUUCUCAAACUGAAAAGUCAUUGAUCUAGAAGAUUGAAUGUAUUCCAGGACUAAAUUACAUAACUGGUGGAUGGAUUAAUAGAAAUAACUACCCUCCAUUGAGCUUCCAACUGGUCAUCAACCUGAAACCUUCAUCCUGUAGUAAAAUUAAUAUACAUUGAUGACAUGAAGAUCACAUUUUUUUUGUAAAAAGUUUAUUACUGUAUAUCUGGUACUGGUUGUCUAGAAAUUCGUGGUAAUAUGUUACCAUUAAUGAAUGGGUCUGAAUUACAUAAAUAGUGGAUGAAUUAAUGAUAAUAACUGCCCAUCAUCGAGCUUGCAACUGGUCAUCAACCAACAACCUGAGACCUUCAUCCUAUAGUUGAAUAAUAUACAUAAAUGACACUUAUGAAAAUUAAUUUUUUUUUGUAAAAUGUUCAUUACUUUAUAUCUGGUACUGGUUGUCUCGAAAUUCGUAGGAAUAUGUUACCAUCAAUGAAGAGGUCUGAAUUACAUAAAUAGUGGAUGAAUUAAUGAUAAUAACUGCCCAUCAUCUAGCUUGCAACUGGUCAUCAACCACCAACCAGAGACCUUCAUCCUAUAGUUGAAUAAUAUACAUAGAUGACACUUAUGAAAAUUAAUUUUUUUUUGUAAAAUGUUCAUUACUUUAUAUCUGGUACUGGUUGUCUCGAAAUUCGUAGGAAUAUGUUACCAUCAAUGAAGAGGUCUGAAUUACAUAAGUAGUGGAUGAAUUAAUGAUAACAACUGCCCAUCAUCGAGCUUGCAACUGGUCAUCAACCAACAACCUGAGACCUUCAUCCUAUAGUUGAAUAAUAUACAUAGAUGACACUUAUGAAAAUUACAUUUUUUUUUUGUAAAAUGUUUAUUACUGUAUAUCUGGUACUGGUUGUCUAGAAAUUCGUGGCAAUAUGUUACCAUUAAUGAA